AUACGUAGGGGGCGAGCGUUGUCCGGAAUGAUUGGGCGUAAAGGGCGCGUAGGCGGCCCGGUAAGUCUGGAGUGAAAGUCCUGUUUUUAAGAUGGGAAUUGCUUUGGAUACUGUCGGGCUUGAGUGCAGGAGAGGUAAGUGGAAUUCCCAGUGUAGCGGUGAAAUGCGUAGAGAUUGGGAGGAACACCAGUGGCGAAGGCGACUUACUGGACUGUAACUGACGCUGAGGCGCGAAAGUGUGGGGAGCAAACAGGAUUAGAUACCCUGGUAGUCCACUCUGUAAACGAUGAAUGCUAGGUGUAGGGGGUAUCGACCCCUUCUGUGCCGCAGUCAACACAAUAAGCAUUCCGCCUGGGGAGUACGGCCGCAAGGUUGAAACUCAAAUGAAUUGACGGGG
rnacentral:rRNA from 1 species